CCUACGGGAGGCUGCAGUAGGGAAUAUUGCUCAAUGGGGGAAACCCUGAAGCAGCAACGCCGCGUGGAGGAUGAUGGUUUUCGGAUUGUAAACUCCUUUUGUUAGAGAAGAUAAUGACGGUAUCUAACGAAUAAGCACCGGCUAACUCCGUGCCAGCAGCCGCGGUAAUACGGAGGGUGCAAGCGUUACUCGGAAUCACUGGGCGUAAGGAGCGCGUAGGCGGGAUAGCAAGUCAGAUGUGAAAUCCUAUGGCUUAACCAUAGAACUGCAUUUGAAACUGUUAUUCUAGAGUAUGGGAGAGGUAGGUGGAAUUCGUGGUGUAGGGGUAAAAUCCGUAGAGAUCAAAAGGAAUACUCAUUGCGAAGGCGACCUGCUAGAACAUAACUGACGCUGAUGCGCGAAAGCGUGGGGAGCAAACAGGAUUAGAUACCCUUGUAGUC
rnacentral:rRNA from 1 species